AUUGAACGCUAGCGGCAUGCUUAACACAUGCAAGUCGAACGAGUGGCGGACGGGUGAGUAAUGUCUGGGAAACUGCCUGAUAGCGGGGGAUAACUACUCGAAAGGGUAGCUAAUACCGCAUACUAUUGGAUCGGCCGAUAUGGGAUUAGCUUGUUGGUGGGGGAAAGGCUCACCAAGGCAACGAUCCGUCGCUGGUUUGAGAGGACGACCAGCCACAAUGGAACUGAGACACGGCCCAGACGCCUACGGUAGGCAGCAGUGGGGAAUAUUGCACAAUGGGGGAAACCCUGAUCCAGCCAUCCCGCGUGUAUGAGAAGGCCUUCGGGUUGUAAAGUACUUUUGGCAGGGAGGCGUUAUCUGCAGAAUAAGCACCGGCUAACUACGUGCCAGCAGCCGCGGUAAUAC
rnacentral:rRNA from 1 species